AAAAAGGACUGGAGUGAUGCUCAGUGGUCCAGAGUCCCAUUUUGUAUGAGAAGAGGACUUUUCAUUUUGACAUCAAUGUUCUUCAGUCUACAGGAGGAGCAGAAGCACAGAAUCAGAAUAAAGUUUCCACGGUCUGUGAUGAUCUGAGGUGCCAUGUCACCUCCUGGGGAUGGUUCACUGUGUUAUCAAAUCCAGAUUCAAAAGAGGAACUCAUAGGAGAUUCAUCGGCCCACACCUGCCCACAACACCAAAACUACCAGCUAUUUAAAUUGGCACAUUUAACUCCUGAUUUUUUGUUCUUGUGUUACACUGUAUCAGAAUUCAUCACAGACCCUUUCACUGUGAUAGUUAUAGCCCAACUUAAUAUUUCUUUCUGUAUUACAAAAAAAGUUGCAGAGAUAAAAUGUGCUGUUUUGGCUCCGAUGAGGGUUAGCUGGGGGCAGAGAGACCUUGAAAAACAACAGAGUCAUGAUCAUUCAGAGGAACAUGUGGAAUCAACUGAUGCACCUCUUAUUUUUCAUCAGUAUGCAGUCUGAUUUGAGUUAUUCUUCUGUGAGUUGAAAGUUUACAAGUUGUCGAGAAUGUUGAGUUUGUGCAGAGCGUAUUGUUGACUGAGUCAUAUAUCACCUUUUUUUUUGGAAACUGUUCUCUAUGCAGGUACUUACCCUGUCCCUGUGCUUCUUUAUAAUGACGUUCAAUUUUUUCUGUUCUUUCCUGCACAAACUCUAGACAAGUGAAUGAAAAACAGCACAGUUGUGAUGAUUGAAAGAGCAGAAUCUGAAUGUUCAGGACUUGAGAAAACUGCUAAUGAAGUAUGAGUCAUAGGCAUGCACGUCAUCAGGAAUUCUUCGGCCCAAUAAAAGAAUAGCACAAAGUUUCUCUACACCACAGGCCAAUUACCAUAACGCUGUGAUCCAUCAGAGCUAUAAAGGAUAGUAUUUUGUGAAACACCAUGAGAAUUUAAUCACAAUAAAAGCAACAAAUCCUUUCAGAAAAGACCAGUUAAAAACCUGUUCCCUAUUGCUCCUCU